AUUGAACGCUGGCGGCAGGCCUAACACAUGCAAGUCGAAUGGUAACAGGAAACAGCUUGCUGUUUCGCUGACGAGUGGCGGACGGGUGAGUAAUGUCUGGGAAACUGCCUGAUGGAGGGGGAUAACUACUGGAAACGGUAGCUAAUACCGCAUAACGUCGCAAGACCAAAGAGGGGGACCUUCGGGCCUCUUGCCAUCAGAUGUGCCCAGAUGGGGUUAGCUAGUAGGUGGGGUAACGGCUCACCUAGGCGACGAUCCCUAGCUGGUCUGAGAGGAUGACCAGCCACACUGGAACUGAGACACGGUCCAGACUCCUACGGGAGGCAGCAGUGGGGAAUAUUGCACAAUGGGCGCAAGCCUGAUGCAGCCAUGCCGCGUGUAUGAAGAAGGCCUUCGGGUUGUAAAGUACUUUCAGCGGGGAGGAAGGGAGUAAAGUUAAUACCUUUGCUCAUUGACGUUACCCGCAGAAGAAGCACCGGCUAACUCCGUG
rnacentral:rRNA from 1 species